rnacentral:lncRNA from 1 species
ACUUGAGACUGGUUCCUAACAACAAAUUAGACCUCGUCUUUGGAGGGGUGCAGCCGGCGGAGGGGGACUGACUGGCUUCCACACAUGCCUCCUUGAGCCCUCAGACACUCAUGGGUCCACUGGCCAGAGAUGGAGAAAUUGUAACUCAGAUACUCCAAUUCGACUCAAUUCAACAAACACUGAGCACCUAUGAUGUGCAAGAAGUUGGCAGUCUGCAACCCGGAAGAGGACUCUCACCAGAACCCGACGAUGCCGGCACGGUGAUCUUGGACUUCCAGCCUCCAGAACCGACCACAAGAUCUGGUUACAUUCUGGGAGAAAGGAUAUUUCCAUCUAUAUUUAGAGGGUGGGAAAAAAUACCUACUGACAGAGAAAAAUCAUCAAUGAAAUAUUUCAAGAAAAUUUCCCAGAGCUGAAGGAAAAGUUUCCACAUCAAAAGGGACCACUCCAGCACAGUGCAUGGAAAGAGACCCACAGCAAGGCAAGUCAUUGUGAAAUUUCAAAACACUGGGGACACACACAACAAAAAUAUUAAAAAGAAAAGUCCUCUUGCGUACAAAGGAAGCAGAAAUCAAAAGGGUUUCAUAUUUCUCAACAGCAACAUUUUUUUAAGGCAAUGGAGCAAUAUUUUCAAAACUCUAGAGGAAAAUAUCUCCAACCUAGAAUUCUGUAUUCAGCCAGACAAUCAAUCAACUGCAAGGGUUGAAAAAAGACUUUUCCAGAUAUUCAAGAGUCAGAAAAUGUACCUUGAAUGCACUUUCUCUAAGGAAGCUACUGGGGGAUGUGCUCCACCAAAAUAUGGGGGUGACACUAACCCAGGAGAGGGGUGGAGGGAUCUCCCACUGAUGCGUGUGCUCGGGCCUUCUGGGGAGUCAUCCAGACAGGAGCAGGGCUGAAGGACGGACUUCCCAGGAAGACAAAAUUGAAGCUGUCACCUCUGUCUAGGAUGCAUUCUCCCAUCUGUCUCCUGUCAGCUUCCUAACAAAAGUCAGCUUAAACCCAACCUCAUCCAGGAGGCCGUCUAAGAUCCCAUAGACCCCGCCCCCACCCCGCAAGCUGGAAUCAACUUUUUAGGCUUCUUUGUCCGAAUAUCAGGCGCCCUGACUGAGGCUAUCCUGCUUAUCACAGUCUAUGAAUCAGCACACGAGGCCACCUCCCCGCCAGGUCUUGGGGUCCUGAGAUCCUGAUCCUUGUCCGUCUGUCCUACAUGGCCCAGCACCACUGCAUCUGGCCCCCUCUGGACUUGUUGAAUCUCAGUUCUUGGUGUCAGAGCCAGACACAUACAUAUGUGGGGUGAUCCCUGGAGCUCUAGAAACCCAAACUCUGGCCUGUAAGGGUAACUGACUGUGACUUCCUCCUGCCCUCAG